AACCAGCACCUCAAGUGGUCAGGAUGAUUAUUGGGCCUAAAGCAUCCGUAGCCUGCUCUGUCAGUCUUCGGUUAAAUCUGUCCACUCAAGGGACAGGCCGCCGGAGAUACUGCAGAACUAGGGAGUGGGAGAGGUAGACGGUACUCGGUAGGAAGGGGUAGAAUGCUUUGAUCUAUCGAUGACCACCUGUGGCGAAGGCGGUCUACCAGAACACGUCCGACGGUGAGGGAUGAAAGCUGGGGGAGCAAACCGG
rnacentral:rRNA from 1 species